ensembl:lncRNA
GGAGAUGAGACAUAAGCAAAGAGCAACAAAAUAAAAUGGACCGUAAUAUUAAUGAGGAGAGGGAAAGAGGUAGCAGCUGCCGAGCUUGCCUUCAGAGUACUACAGUGCAUCCAAAUGGAGACACCCUUCCAAACAUCCUGCAGGAAGGAACAGUUCUACAGCCUUGUGUCCAGAACAGCAUGGCACCAAGGCAAAGAAGGAGGUGGCAGACUGUUUCCUCUGUCUGCUAACAAGCCAGCCCUGUCACUCCAGUUGUCUACUACAGAAACUGUCACACCACGUGCUGAGUCUUUAAAUGAAUUGGGAGAGAAAGACACACCCUUGGAGCUUCAGGGCUGCUCAUAUGGAUUAGUCUGAAGAUUAUGGGCUGCUGUGAUUGUCUGCCAGAAACAAAAAUGUGUCUUCAAAAUGUGAAAGGCUUGGCUAACAUCUGCAGAGCCCACUAAGCUGUGUAACUUUAUCACCACACCCCCUGGAUUUACACUGAAGCCUCUCAAGGGGCUUAUCAAUACGACACAAUACUCCUCCAGCUCUGAAAUGGCCUAAUGGAGAAUAGGGGGAAAUGGCUAAGAUUACAUCAUGGCUCCAAGCUAUCUGAAUCUCACAAAUCUGGAAAGCAAAUGUUGAACUCAGGAAAACCUUCAUGUCACCCAUUGUUAAGUGAAAGCUUGGGAG